GAUUUGAAAUGUGAUUAGCAGUCCUUUGAAGACAUUUGCAGAUGAUAAGCCAUCUAGUGGAAGGCAGCGAUAGAGUGCCACACAAAUCCAAAAGCAAAUUCUUGACAAUAUUUAUCAUUCAGAAAAAGUAUCUCCAAGUACGGAGGAGAUCAAAGGAUAACUUCUGAACUCUCACAACAUGGUGAAAUUGUUGAGUCUAACAUCCUAAACUGGUC
rnacentral:lncRNA from 1 species